rnacentral:rRNA from 1 species
CACGUAGGGCGCAAGCGUUGUCCGGAAUUAUUGGGCGUAAAGAGCUCGUAGGCGGUCUGUUACGUCUGCUGUGAAAACCCUGGGCUUAACCCUGGGCUUGCAGUGGAUACGGGCAGACUAGAGGCAGGUAGGGGAGAAUGGAAUUCCCGGUGUAGCGGUGAAAUGCGCAGAUAUCGGGAGGAACACCGGUGGCGAAGGCGGUUCUCUGGGCCUGACCUGACGCUGAGGCACGAAGGCCAGGGGAGCAAACGGG